ACCUAGGUGAGGGCAGUGGCAACAACGGAAUGUGGGGACCCGGUGCAAGGCCGAGGGAAGGGCCUCGGUGUGGCUGAGGUCUCAGGCAGUCUAGACAGGUAUCGGGGACAAAGAGCCAGGCAGGGCUUCUGAGAGGAGCGGCGUCCACGCUGGGCCAGCUGCCCAGUGACGUGGUGCUGCUCCCGACUCGACGCAUCACUCUGACACCGUUUCACAGUUACCCUGGGCACGCUGCCACCAUGACUCUGCUCAUCAAUGGCCCCAAUCACCAAGUGUCUGGUUUCACUAUCGGCAUCCUAGGAUGGAUCCUCUGUACAACUUCCAUGGGCCUUGUGGAGUGGCGAGUGUGGCACAUGGACGACCCCACGUUCUUCCCCACUGGUGUUGCCUGUGUGGGAAUGUGGAGAGUCUGCAUCUACCAUCAUGACACCAACACCAGCAUAGCCAAAGUUUGUCAUCUGUACACCUACGAUGAUGACUUUCUUCCGUUUGAGAUUCGUAGUGCUCAACACCUCCUGCUGAUUGCCAGCAUUCUAGGGCUCCUGGGGAGAGUCUUCAGCAUCUUUGCACUUAGGAAUGUAUACAUGGGAAUCCCUCAGAAGCAUGCCUGCAAUCCAUUCCUUCUUUCGGGGAUGCUGAAUUUAAUUGCUGCUCUCUGUAUCACACUUGCCGUGCUCCAGAAUUACUACUCUAUCAAAAAUUUACAGGGGAUUGCCUUCCCGCCAUCUUUCCAAGUGCCUUUCAGGCCAGAUACCCAGGAAAGCGGGAAUGCCGCUUUAGUGGCAAGUAUAGCUGCCUUCCUGAUGCUCUUAAGUGGGUUGUUUUAUCUCUGCUACAAAUCUCCACUGGAGAGCAAAGGGUACCCUGCAGUUUGAGAAACAGGAAUUUGCUGGUUGUGUGGGCUUUGAAAUCCAAGAGUUUAUGGGAAGUAUUACCAGGAUGCUCUACCAAAUAUUUCCAGGGACUCAAGACCAUGGCAAAGGUAGUUUGGGACACAAAGUAGCCAACUGUUUCCCUCUCUUACAUUGUGUAUCUAAAUGUGGUUCAUUGAUUGGUUAGCUGAAUUUAGAAUUUUCAAUAAAAAUGUAUCUUGCCCACCA